rnacentral:rRNA from 1 species
AUUGAACGCUGGCGGCAUGCCUAACACAUGCAAGUCGAGCGGAUGAAGGGGGCUUGCUCCUGGAUUCAGCGGCGGACGGGUGAGUAAUGCCUAGGAAUCUGCCUGGUAGUGGGGGAUAACGUCCGGAAACGGGCGCUAAUACCGCAUACGUCCUUAGGUAGAAAUUGGUUGAUCUUCGGACCUCACGCUAUCAGAUGAGCCUAGGUCGGUUUAGCUAGUUGGUGGGGUAAAGGCAUACCAAGGCGACGAUCCGUAACUGGGCUGAGAGGAUGAUCAGACAGACUGGCACUGAGAAACGGUACAGACUCCUACGCGAGGCAGCAGUGGGGAAUAUUAGACGAUGGAGGAAAGCGUGAUACAGCAAUGCCGCGUAUGUGCAGAGGGUCUUAGGAUUGUAAAGCAAUGUAGGCUGGGAGGAUGGACAGUAAGUUAAUACCUUGCUGUUUUGACGUUACCAACAGAAUAAGCACCGGCUAACUUCGUG